rnacentral:rRNA from 1 species
AGUGAACGCUGGCGGUAGGCCUAACACAUGCAAGUCGAACGGCAGCACAGUAAGAGCUUGCUCGUACGGGUGGCGAGUGGCAGACGGGUGAAGAAUACAUCGGAAUCUACUUUUUCGUGGGGGAUAACGUAGGGAAACUUACGCUAAUACCGCAUACGACCUACGGGUGAAAGCAGGGGAUCUUCGGACCUUGCGCGAUUGAAUGAGCCGAUGUCGGAUUAGCUAGUUGGCGGGGUAAAGGCCCACCAAGGCGACGAUCCGUAGCUGGUCUGAGAGGAUGAUCAGCCACACUGGAACUGAGACACGGUCCAGACUCCUACGGGAGGCAGCAGUGGGGAAUAUUGGACAAUGGGCGCAAGCCUGAUCCAGCCAUACCGCGUGGGUGAAGAAGGCCUUCGGGUUGUAAAGCCCUUUUGUUGGGAAAGAAAAGCAGCAGGUUAAUACCCCGCUGUUCUGACGGUACCCAAAGAAUAAGCACCGGCUAACUUCGUG